CGGUGGAUGAUGUGGUUUAAUUCGAUGCAACGCGAAAAACCUUACCCACCUUUGACAUGUACGGAACCCUUUAGAGAUAGAGGGGUGCUCGAAAGAGAGCCGUAACACAGGUGCUGCAUGGCUGUCGUCAGCUCGUGUCGUGAGAUGUUGGGUUAAGUCCCGCAACGAGCGCAACCCUUGUCAUUAGUUGCUACAUUCAGUUGGGCACUCUAAAUGAGACUGCCGGUGACAAGCCGGAGGAAGGUGGGGAUGACGUCAAGUCCUCAUGGCCCUUAUAGGUGGGGCUACACACGUCAUACAAUGGCUGGUACAAAGGGUUGCCAACCCGCGAGGGGGAGCCCAAUCCCAUAAAGCCAGUCGUAGUCCGGAUCGUAGUCUGCAACUCGACUACGUGAAGUCGGAAUCGCUAGUAAUCGUGGAUCAGAAUGUCACGGUGAAUACGUUCCCGGGUCUU
rnacentral:rRNA from 1 species